rnacentral:misc_RNA from 1 species
CUAGACUCUGUUGUACCGGCUUGUUUGAAUAUGGUGGGAUUUGGUUCCUCGUUUCCCUACAACCCGCCCCCUUUGGAAGUUAUGGUGCAUGCUUUUUCUGCCACCCCCUCGCUUGCGUGCUGCUCUACCUUGUGCUGGUGGCUUGAUUUCGGGUGGCACUGCUGCUGGGUUAUGUGACCUGGAUUCUGAUGUGGCUUGUCUGGCUUCAAGCUUGGUUUUGGAUACUGAGGUGUCCGCUACUGCUAUCGUGACCCCUACUGAUCCUGUUGAUAUUCUGCCUGCUGUUGCGGAUGGCAAUCUGGUCGUGGUGGGACAUUCUGUUCUGGCCUCUCGUCCAAGGACUUGCAAGCCACUCCAAGUCUAUUCUAGAAGGGUUCGGACCAAUCAGCAUCAUCAAAUUUCAGUGUCUUCUAAUAACGAGGGUGGGGAUACCUCGGCUCCACCUGCACAACCGCUAUCCCCUAGUCUGAAAAGAUUGGUUUUUAUGGCCAAGAUCAAGAUGAUAUCUGCACAUAUUUUGCCUAUUCCUCAAGCUGAAAGACCAAGGGCUCAGAUUUUUUCCCUACUGUUCUACCU